AGCCUUCUGUAUCCGUGCUGAGAUUUCGUCAAGGGCUGAUGAGACUUCCAAGAUAAGUGAAGCG
rnacentral:pre_miRNA from 1 species